UACGGAAGGUCCGGGCGUUAUCCGGAUUUAUUGGGUUUAAAGGGAGCGUAGGCCGGCUUUUAAGUCAGCUGUGAAAGUCCGCGGCUCAACCGUGGAAUUGCAGUUGAAACUGGCAGUCUUGAGUACAGUAGAGGUGGGCGGAAUUCGUGGUGUAGCGGUGAAAUGCUUAGAUAUCACGAAGAACUCCGAUUGCGAAGGCAGCUCACUGGACUGCAACUGACACUGAGGCUCGAAAGUGUGGGUAUCAAACAGG
rnacentral:rRNA from 1 species